CGAAAAUGUAGUUUAUAAAAAUAUUAUCAUUGGAAGCUAGAGCUUGGGUUACAAUCCCACAUUUCGA
rnacentral:tRNA from 1 species